GGGCCCGUAGCUCAGCAAGGAUAGAGCAGCGGCCUUCGGAGCCGCAGGUCGCGGGUUCAAAUCCCGCCGGGCCCG
rnacentral:tRNA from 1 species